AACACUUGGAAACUGAUGUUCUCCUGCCUCGCGGCCUUGUCCGUAUCUGUUUUGGUUGUUUCCUCCUGUAGCCAGCCCAGCCUCAAGAGGUUUCCGUGACUGCCCGCAGCGGUGUUUGAAGAGGUGCUUAUACAAGGAGGUCAGAAACCUGCUGCGUGCUAGAGGGAGACUCAUUGGGGACAACACAACUCCCCUCUUUGCAGCACCCUAUAAGACUAAUAAGAGAGAUGACUUGUCAAACAAAAUUCAGAACGUGCUGGGCAAUUAUGAGGAUGUCAUGGGGUUCAUCAACUCCAAAAAACAGCGG